CACACACACACACACACACACACACACACACACACACACACAGACAUACACACACUGUUCUCACAUUCUCACAUUCCUUAGAAAUAUGUUCUGCAUGUACUGCAUUUAUCAAUUAUCGUGUUGAAUUCUUCAAGUAUUGUAUCAUUACAUUAUUGUACUGGCUGCUACCUCAGUGACUGCUGUGUUCAUAUAUGCUAUAAGCGUAGCUGCUAAAUACUAGAAUAUGACUGUAUAGCCAUACUUCUGUAUAGCUGGUCUAACAAAGUCUCAACUUGAUUCAAAACACUUAUUUUAAUGCCAGUAGUGGUGGUCUUGUGUGUGUGUGUGUGUGUGUGUGUGUGUGUGUGUGUGUGUGUGUGUGUGUGUGUGUAGACCAGCUGAUUAAACUGACUCUGCUGGUUCUUGGUUCCCAGCAGUCUGGUCUCUUUUACGCUGUCUGUAUUGAGUGUGUUUGUCUCCUUUAAGGAGUUUGUGUUUUGCCUCCUUUUCUAUGUAACCUGUGUUUUAAUCUUUAUAUCUUUUGUGUGUAGUUUAUGUUUGCUGUGGUUAUAAUCUUUUUGGUGUUUAACUACUGUGGAUUUCUCCUACUGAAGGUUUUUGUUGUUUGUUUAUGUUUAUUUACGUUGCUUGUUACCUUUGGAAUCACUGACUGUAUUUCCAGUGUGUUACAGCAAGGUUUUGACCACUAGCUGCAUCAAUCCUUGUACAUGUUGUAUAACUUCAGGUGAGGUCUGAUCCACACUGUGAUCAAUUCAUCCAUUUCUGUGAUUACCAUCAUGUGGUUCUCUCAUUACUCAGCACAGACAUCUGCUGGAUGAUGUAUUCAGCUACACUUCAACGAACCUGAGUGUGGAAG